GCCACCUAGGUGCAGGACGGGUGUGUGACGUCGCGUCCCGCCACUGUGUACAGCCAUAGAGCACCCACAAAAGUAUAUGGAAAAACCAAAGGCCCAGCAGUCCAGCGUCCUCCCUGGGCCAGCGGCGGGCUCCAGCUCCUGGAGGUCUGCGGGCGCGUCCGGCAGCCAGAUCACCAGCCUGGACGGGGGACAGCAUCAGCCUCGCCCAGCAGCCAGCCCAGAGGCCACCUACCCCUCAGACCCUGAGGGAGCUACCAGCCCACAGGAAGGGGCUACCCAGAUGGGUUCCUGAAAUGUCACCUGACCAAGGCCCCCGGGCUCCUUGCUGCUGACGUGGCUCAGCCAGCACCAGAUGCAGGGUGCGCAGAGCGCUGGACCCCACAGGACCAGCCAGCCCAGUCCUCUACCUGUCUCUGAAAAACACUGGCUGGACACCUCCGCCCACUCACCGGCUGCUGCAGGUCCUCACCUAUUACCUCACCCCCUGGGAGGGCCUGAACAGGGGCUGGAGCGGGGCAGACGGUCAGAGGAGGCGAGGUAGCAAGCCAAACGGAAGCCGGACCGUCCCCUCCCUCAUUCUGGGCCCUCUGCCCCUGUUAACGCAGACUAACUACGCGUGGAGCAUGGGGUGAUGGGAAAAAC